rnacentral:rRNA from 1 species
AGUGAACGCUGGCGGUAGGCCUAACACAUGCAAGUCGAACGGCCGCACAGUAAGAGCUUGCUCUUACGGGUGGCGAGUGGCGGACGGGUGAGGAAUACAUCGGAAUCUACUUUUUCGUGGGGGAUAACGUAGGGAAACUUACGCUACUACCGCAUACGACCUACGGGUGAAAGCAGGGGAUCUUCGGACCUUGCGCGAUUGAAUGAGCCGAUGUCGGAUUAGCUAGUUGGCGGGGUAAAGGCCCACCAAGGCGACGAUCCGUAGCUGGUCUGAGAGGAUGAUCAGCCACACUGGAACUGAGACACGGUCCAGACUCCUACGGGAGGCAGCAGUGGGGAAUAUUGGACAAUGGGCGCAAGCCUGAUCCAGCCAUACCGCGUGGGUGAAGAAGGCCUUCGGGUUGUAAAGCCCUUUUGUUGGGAAAGAAAAGCAGCAGGUUAAUACCCCGCUGUUCUGACGGUACCCAAAGAAUAAGCACCGGCUAACUUCGUG